rnacentral:rRNA from 1 species
CAGUCGCCGCGGUAAUACGUAGGGUGCAAGCGUUAAUCGGAAUUACUGGGCGUAAAGCGUGCGCAGGCGGUUCUAUAAGACAGAUGUGAAAUCCCCGGGCUCAACCUGGGAACUGCAUUUGUGACUGUAGAGCUGGAGUGCGGCAGAGGGGGAUGGAAUUCCGCGUGUAGCAGUGAAAUGCGUAGAUAUGCGGAGGAACACCGAUGGCGAAGGCAAUCCCCUGGGCCUGCACUGACGCUCAUGCACGAAAGCGUGGGGAGCAAACAGGAUUAGAUACCCCUGUAGUCCCUGUCUCUUAUAA